rnacentral:rRNA from 1 species
UUAAAUGAAUUGACGGGGCCCGCACAAGCGGUGGAGCAUGUGGUUUAAUUCGAUGCAACGCGAAGAACCUUACCUGGGCUUGACAUCCCAAGAAUCCCCUGGAAACAGGGGAGUGCCCUUCGGGGAGCUUGGAGACAGGUGCUGCAUGGCUGUCGUCAGCUCGUGUCGUGAGAUGUUGGGUUAAGUCCCGCAACGAGCGCAACCCUUGCCUUUAGUUGCCAUCAUUCAGUUGGGCACUCUAGAGGGACUGCCGGUGUCAAACCGGAGGAAGGUGGGGAUGACGUCAAGUCCUCAUGGCCCUUAUAGGUGGGGCUACACACGUCAUACAAUGGCUGGUACAAAGGGUUGCCAACCCGCGAGGGGGAGCCAAUCCCAUAAAGCCAGUCGUAGUCCGGAUCGUAGUCUGCAACUCGACUACGUGAAGUCGGAAUCGCUAGUAAUCGUGGAUCAGAAUGUCACGGUGAAUACGUUCCCGGGUCUU